UCAAGAGAAGGAUAGUAAUGGCCCGUUGUGAUCUGAAAUGUUCCUUCGAUUUUAAGUGAUUUUAAUGUAGUGGGUACUCCACUUCCUGGGACAGCGAGACACGUCAUAAGCUCCGCAAACGACUGCAAGAAGAGGCGACCUCCUCUAAUACCGAGGUAAUCCAACUUGGGUGGUAAUUCCUUCAACACUACCUUAUCACAAUCACUUAAUUGCAAUCUAUUGAGAGUUGGAGCUCUAGGAACUGAAGCAACAAGUUGCUGACAUCCUGCAAUUCGAAGUUUGAUUAAAGAGGGAAGCUGACUGGGUAGACCACCGCUUAGCUUGGGACAUUCAAUUAUGCAAAGCUCUUUGAGAGUAGAGAAAACUUCAACCCCAUCUUCAUGUUCA